ACGCAGCGAAAUGCGAUACGUAAUGUGAAUUGCAGAAUUCAGUGAAUCAUCGAAUCUUUGAACGCACCUUGCGCCCCUUGGCAUUCCGAGGGGCACACCCGUUUGAGUGUCG
rnacentral:rRNA from 1 species